AUUAGGAUCUGCUACACUCAAGCAGUUGGGCCCAUACCCCAAAAACGGUGACUGACACCUCCUAAUA
rnacentral:tRNA from 1 species